rnacentral:rRNA from 1 species
UACGUAGGCAGCGAGCGUUGUUCGGAAUUACUGGGCGUAAAGAGUGUGUAGGCGGUGCUCUAAGUUCGGUGUGAAAUCUCCCGCUUACUGGGAGGGUGCGCCGGAAACUGGAGUGCUCGAGCGUGGGAGAGGAAAGGCGGAAGUUCCUGGUGUAGCGGUGAAAAUGCGUAGAUAUCAGGAGGAACACCUGCGGUGUAGACGGCUUUCUGGACCAUUGCUGACGCUGAGACACGAAAGCGUGGGUAGCAAACAGG